rnacentral:lncRNA from 1 species
GUAGUGUAAAAAUAAUUCGAAAUAGAUUAAAUUUCAUGGUGUCAUUCUGCCAUAAAAACAUAGACAAAUAAUAUAACUAGUUCACAUUGUAUCUUUCAAAUAUAGAAAGGUAAAUUUACCUAUAGUAUUUACACUUAUUCAUCAGAAAUUGGAGUAAAGUAACGGCUGCUAGCGAAAUGGUAACCAUCACUCAGUGUACUUUCGCCAUGGUCUUGAUUGUUCUCGUGCUCAUGGCUCACUUUGACUCUUGUGAAGGUGCUUCAAGGAAGAAAUGUAAAUUUAAGCGGAAGAAGACUAAGUGCGUUGAUAUUAUACCCAAAAAGGAUGUAAGAAGAUACAGAUUGUUCUGUCCGAAUUUUGAUGUUUCAACUUUAGGCAAGUGUGCUGCGGUCGGUGGCAGCUGCACAAUAGUGCCAACAAGAAAGGGCAAGCGCUGUGUCUGUGAUAAAGAAAGGUACGUUCGUGACCAACCACGGAAUUCAAUUCGGACCUUCUAAAAGCGAGACCAAAAUGACAUUCACUUUACAUAUCAAAGUAAAGACAUACAUAUUUAUUGAGAUAUUGCCAUCAUCAAUAAGAAACUCAUCUGAUAUUGUUCAGCAGGAAACUUUUGGAAAAGAGAAAGACUAAUGAACACAUUGUUGUUUUGUUAAAUUAAAACUGAUCACAUUUUUAGUUCUUAUCUGAAGAAAACUCGGUAACGUAUUUGGAAAUGUCUACUAAGCAGCACUAUAAUACAAAGUGAGGGUUACACACUGGACAAAGAGAGGGUUACGCGCUGGAUAAAGUGAAAGUUACACACUAGAGUUAAGCAAGCACUACCUCAUAUGACCAUUAGCCAGCUGAUGGACUUCUGUUUUCUAAGCUCUGAUUCCCGUGUCGUCCGUUGUAUUCAUGCAUCAUGUAAAUAUAUCGCAGUACACCUCUAAACAACAUUUAAUUUCAGAUAGUUCGGAAUGGACGGUAAAGAUCUUUAUAAUAAUGCUUUUGAAAGAAUUUAAAAUUUAGUUACCUUUUGACAUGUACAUUGAAAAAGUUUGCUAAUUUAACUUUUGACACUUUUAUAUAGAUUAGCAUUAGAAGUUACGCGUAAUUAAAUUGUAAUUGUUAUACUGUUAAAAUAUGUUAUUUUUAUGUACAUACUGUGUCAUGAUAUGUAAACUAUUGAUAUGUAUAUAUGUUAUGUUUAUGUGCCGGAGGCUUUAAUGCAAAACUAGAAAUAAAUUCUGCAUGCCGACGGGCAGAAUGUCGAGCCUGCCAGCUGUCUAAAAAAGUAA